AAAUUGAAGAGUUUGAUCAUGGCUCAGAUUGAACGCUGGCGGCAGGCCUAACACAUGCAAGUCGAACGGUAACAGGAAACAGCUUGCUGUUUCGCUGACGAGUGGCGGACGGGUGAGUAAUGUCUGGGAAACUGCCCGAUGGAGGGGGAUAACUACUGGAAACGGUAGCUAAUACCGCAUAACGUCGCAAGACCAAAGAGGGGGACCUUCGGGCCUCUUGCCAUCGGAUGUGCCCAGAUGGGAUUAGCUAGUAGGUGGGGUAACGGCUCACCUAGGCGACGAUCCCUAGCUGGUCUGAGAGGAUGACCAGCCACACUGGAACUGAGACACGGUCCAGACUCCUACGGGAGGCAGCAGUGGGGAAUAUUGCACAAUGGGCGCAAGCCUGAUGCAGCCAUGCCGCGUGUAUGAAGAAGGCCUUCGGGUUGUAAAGUACUUUCAGCGGGGAGGAAGGGAGUAAAGUUAAUACCUUUGCUCAUUGACGUUACCC
rnacentral:rRNA from 1 species